GUAGGGUGCGAGCGUUAAUCGGAAUUACUGGGCGUAAAGCGUGCGCAGGCGGUGAUGUAAGACAGGUGUGAAAUCCCCGGGCUUAACCUGGGAACUGCAUUUGUGACUGCAUCGCUGGAGUGCGGCAGAGGGGGAUGGAAUUCCGCGUGUAGCAGUAAAAUGCGUAGAUAUGCGGAGGAACACCGAUGGCGAAGGCAAUCCCCUGGGCCUGCACUGACGCUCAUGCACGAAAGCGUGGGGAGCAAACAGGAUUAGAUACCCUGGUAGUCCACGCCCUAAACGAUGUCAACUGGUUGUUGGUCCUUCACUGGAUCAGUAACGAAGCUAACGCGUGAAGUUGACCGCCUGGGGAGUACGGCCGCAAGGUUG
rnacentral:rRNA from 1 species